rnacentral:rRNA from 1 species
CCUUGUACACACCGCCCGUCACACCACGAAAGUUGGAUGGACCUGAAGUCGUUGACCCAACCCGCAAGGGAGGGAGGCGCCAACGGUCUGUUUGAUGAUUGGGGGUG